rnacentral:rRNA from 1 species
UACAGAGGAGCCAAGCGUUGUCCGAAUUGACUGGGCGUAAAGCGCACGCAGGCGGCCGCGCGCGUGGGGUGUGAAAUCUGGCCGCUUAACGGCCAGGCGCCAUCCCAUACGGCGCGGCUGGAGCCAUGCAGAGGGCGGUGGAAUUGCCGGUGUAGUGGUGAAAUGCGUAGAGAUCGGCAGGAACACCCAGGGGGAAACCAGCCGCCUGGGCAUGCGCUGACGCUGAGGUGCGAGAGCGUGGGGAGCGAACAGG